rnacentral:lncRNA from 1 species
GUCACAUGAUUCACGACCUCCCAGGUAAACCAGACGGGAAUGCAUAUUUCAAAGUAAAAGGUAAUAUUUAGGAUCUAUAUAAUAUUUCCGAUAAAUUAUUUCGUUUGUUUAUUUUGUCAAUUCUUCCUAAUCAAAUAAUGACUUAAAUUGUUAUGUGAAAUGUGAAUAAUGAUUUAUUUAACUUUCGUUUUGGACUUGAACAUAAUCCAUAUUUAUCUUAAUUUAUGUUAUGUCCCAAUUCUAGGGCAAGUUAUUGUUUUCGUCCAUAAUAUCUUCAUUUUUACACGAAAUUUGUAUCUGUAUAGCAUCAUACCAAUCAUUUGAACUACAUUAUACACACGUUUACGAAAUCAUUCAAAUAGCAGGUUCAAGAAAUGGAACUUUGUCUUGUUUAUAUAUAUAUAUCAUUGAUUAAUAUCAGAACACAGGUAAAGUUUCCCAUAUAUUCACAAUAAAUGUGAACCCACAAAAAAACUCAAAAUCACGUAAAUAUGAUUAUUUUUUUAAAAAUUCUUUUGUACAAUUAUUUUUGUAAUUUUUUCAAAAAAAUAUAUCCGUUAGAAGUCAAGAACCAUAACUCUCUCUUUAUUGUGUACAAAUACAACAAAUACAUACACUAGUCAACAAAAGAAACGAUACAAGGCAAUGUAUUUUUCAUAAAUUAUGAAAUUGGAUACACUAUACCAAGGUAAAUUGGUCCAAUAUUUUAUUGUUAUUUUUUCUCUUCAAAACCUUGAUUUAGGGAAAAACGCUAACGAAUUUUGGAUUUUUUAUUAUUUCAAAAACAUAUUUUCAACAAAAAUUUCAAAAAUUAGAAAAAAUAGAAUUAACAUAUUUUCGAGUGAAACAUGGUCGUCCUAAAAUUGUGAUACGGAAUCAUUCAAUUAGCAGGUUCAGGGAAUUGACUCGGGAAUUGAACUUUAUCUUGUAUAUGUAUCAUUGAUUUAUAUCAAAACACAGGUAAAUGAUCCUACAUAUUUACACCAACUGUAAAACAAAAACACGUACAUAUAAUCAAUUAACUUAUUCUUUUGUUUCAAUUUUUUUAAUUGUUUUAACAUCUAAUAGCUUUAAAAAAAUGCAAAGAACAGUAACUCUCUAUCUUUAUUGUGUACUAAUACAACGAGUACACAUAUAUAUAUAUAUAUAUAUAUAAGCGUGAAUAAUAUACAAAUACAAAUACAAAUAUUUUUAUUGGUACAAACUCAUUAACAAUAAAUGGUUAAGACCUAUGGCAUUAUAUACAACCAUAAUAAUUGACAUGGUAGAAUGAAAGGUUCCAUGAUAACUUAUCAUGCUAAAUUAUGAAAAGUUACAAAAUGAUCGAUGUAUCAUAUAAGUUCACUAUUUCUUAUAUUUAGACACUCUGAUCUGAAAAAGGAAGACAGUCUAAGUAAUAAUGCUGAGCUAUUAUUGACCAAUAGAGAUAUUUUUUCAUCAACAGUAAUGUUACAUAAAAUAUAACAACUAAUUUUAUAACACUCAUUAGUGUGUUAAAGUUACAUUCUUAGGCACUUAAAUAACUUAAUUUAGUAACUGUAUCAAUUUAUUUACAAACUGAUCCACGCCUAGAUAGCUUGAAUGUUGAUUGUUGCUAUUUUUAGACAUUAUAUAUAUAUAGUAUCAAUACAGAUUGUAGUUUAUUCUCCUUUUUGUAAUAAAACAAAAACGAAAAUAAGAGAUUUUAAUGCAUAAAUAUAAUGCUCAAAUAAUUCAUUUAUCUAUUUGUCUACAUUACCAGGAUUUCAUCAUUAUAUUUAUUUAUAUUAGAUUAACAAUGCAUAUACAUAUAUUAUUAAACGCACUCUUUCAAUCAAAUGAUCGAUGAAAAUAGCUUUUUGUAUUAGACUAAAAUCAAGACACAAUACGCAAAAUAACUUUUGAAACCCAUCAAUACUGAACUUUAUAGCAAAUCUGAACUAAAUCUUUAAACGGAAUAUCUUAGGAAACUAGGUUUUUGAUUUUGGGAUGUAGGGUGGGCGGGGUUGCGGCCGCAAACAGUGUCCGUUUAAUAACAUGAAAACGAUUUUUUUUUUUGAAAUUUUGAAAUUUAUGUUGUUUCCUGUGACUAAUGAAGGUCAAGUUUAGUUUUCACCAUGUUAACUUUUCUCAUUGUUGAGUUACAGCCCUUUCCCAAAUUUUUUUUAUGAAUUACUCAACUUCUGUACAAAGGGAAAUAACUAAAAAAAAUCGAAAGAUAUUGUGUUAAUGUAAAUUCUUUGGUAAAUUGUUUGAAGAAUUUUGUGUUAGAUUUGUUUGUUAUUCUGAACAAAUUAAUUUUCUGAAUACUAUAUAAAUAACAACAAUUGAUGACGUGAACACCUUUGAUAAGAUAAUAAUAUAUUUAAGUUAAAGGAUAUAUUUGAUUACAUUACACUGUGUAGAUAAAGUUGUUGACGUGAUAGAUAAGUUGCAGAUCUAUAUUAGUUUGUGACAAAUGAAAUAUUUGAAACUAUUAAAUAUAAUGGAUAAUAAUAUGAAAAUUGAUAUACAUUGUGUAACAUUUUAUCUAACUUUAGAGAAAUACAUUUGCUUUAUUAUCUAAAAUUGAUUUCUGUUCAAGUGGAAAUAACUCAAAUUUAUUCCACGAGUUAGUAAUCAUAACAUAAGUUUUUGUCAAAAUUAAUUUUGUAAGUCAUGUGUGUAAUGAAGGUAUAUGGCAUAGUUAAUAUGUGAUAGUUUAUCUUGGUUUUGAAAGUUAAUGUUCAAUGUUUACAUGAUUCUGUUUGGGGUUCAGAUUUGCAAAUAUAAAUUUCAUUAUUUAUUAGAUAAUAAUCUAUCUAAAUAUCCAAUCACAAUCCAAAAUAUGAGCUGAAAUGUUGUGUCCAUACUUGCACAACUGGGUUAGACCUCUACAGGGAAAUCGAGUUUGCUGUCACUCGACAGACUCGUGUUAUAUAUAUUUCGAUAAUCUUUACUAAAACGUUUAACCACUGUGUCUAAACCACACCGACAAAAAAUGUUUGGACCCGAUGGCAUCUAAUAUCCGGCACGGUGACGGAACAUUUAUAGACAUAGAAAAUGUAGGUUUCUGUUUAUUUAUUUGCUAAUUUAUGAUAUCGAAAAAAUGUAUACAUAUAUAACUAUUUUCUAUUGUGAGGUGUACUAUUUUCUACAACAGUUCUAUAUUAAAGGAGAAAUAAGUAAAAAUGCAUAUCAAAAUGACGAAUUGAGUGAAUCUUGUCUCGAAUUUGGUUAAUAUCUCGUUGAAUUGGUCACAUUGUACAUUAAGAAAGGUAUGAAAAGAAAGAUAUUGACACAGAGAUUGCAAAACUAGCCACUUUGAGCACCUUGAAACUUGUAUUUCUGUGUUUGGAAUGAAAGAAAUGGGUCAUGUCAAAAUGAAAGAGGCCGGUUUGGUCAAUGUGUACAACCGGUUUUGUCCUAGAUUUCUCAAGGUAGAACCCGGUUUUGUCAAAGAAAACAAUGCAUAAUGUAUAACAAAAUUGAACUUCGGCGUUUUAAAGGAGUCUGGUGGCUCCUUGGAAAACGAUUUCUUUGAGAGGACAACUUAUUGAUUGUAAGAAUCUGUAAACACUUUAAUUCCUACUUAAACAUUUUUAUUGGAACUAUAAAAAAAAGAAAAAUGUUUGCCUUUCUAUCAAAAAAAUAUCUUAACUGCCAAAUUUAUAGAAAUGAAGGUUAUAACGCAAAUUGAUAUUUAAGUUCUCUAUACGUGUUUAUAUGAAACAUGUGAACUAAAGUGAUCAAAUUUGAAAUUACAGUUUACGGUCUUAACAAUUUAACACGCACAUUUGAUAUGUGAAUUUCUUGCACAACAGGAUGAUUAUAGUUAUAUGUAAUCCAAUCUAAUCGCGCAAAUGUAGAACAAAUUCGUGCUCGUUACUCCCCGCUAACAAGGGGCGUAAUCUUUCUUAUGGUCGUUUAAAACAAGGACUGUCUAUGCUAGAAAGUCUAGAAAGUCCCUGUUUAGAAUAGAUCUUCUUAAGGGUAAGUGUUUAUUAUAAGACAUGAUAGGAAGACAAAUGUAUUUGAGAUUUUACAUGUUUUAUGCUAAUACAAAAUCGUAAAAAAAAUAAAUUUGAUUUUUAAAGGCUUUCACAGGUGGGGUUUAAAAAUUCACAUUGAUAUUUUAGAAUCAUCGAAAUACGAGACCAAUGGAUGCAAAUUCAUGGUAGCUUGAACUAUUUUGUAUGAGGCUUCAUAUGUCAGAAGUGAGAAGGCCUGGCUGCAACAAACCUAGCACACAGAUCUUUUAUUUUACUAUGCUUCUAUCUGUCAUAUGACCAUUGCCCUUGACCUCAUUUUCAUAGUUUAGCGAUUUCCUAUCAAAAUAAAUAGCUGUGAAUGUCACACUGAUAAGGGAGCAACCAUUUAACUUCAAAGGGGAAAGGGGGUGGUUAAUGUUUUUUUUCGUUAGAACAUAAAUCACAAACAGAUUUAUUAAGUUUCUUCGACGCUAUCAAUCAGAUUCUUUCUUUAAUAUAAAACAUUAUUAGUUAAAGGGGAAAUCUGCUUGACCAGAAUAUUUUUUGUUCAUCAAAUUGUGGAUCGGAAUAAUUUUUUUUAGAGAAAAAAAACUAGCCACCUCCUGGAAGUUAAAUGGUCGUUCCCUAAUGGUUGAUAUCCAUGAUCAAGGUGAAUAUUUUGUGUUCAAUAUAAAGAAAAAAGUAGAUGUGAUAUGUUUGGCAAUGAGACAACUCUCCACAACAGACCAAAUAGCACAGAAAUCUACAGCUACACGUCACCACACGGGCUUUAAUAAUGAGCAAAACAUAUACCGCAUAUUCAGCAAUAACAGGCCCGGAAAUCACAAAUAUAAAACAAUUUAAACAAGAAAAACAAAUAUGUAACACAAGUCCGUAUCUCUAGUACCAUAAGUAAUAGGUCAACCGUGUUUGCUCAUAUGGCCACAGGACUAUUAUAUAACCAUGAACUUAUUUCAUUGGUUUAUUAGUUAAGGUUAAGUUUUUUAUUUUUGUCAUUGUAAUGUGUUCAUGUCCAUCUGAUAGGUUUCAUUACACCUUGACUUUUUUAUGGUUCCAUGAACAAUGUUAAGUUUAUGUGAUCCUUUUAUAACAGCGAAAGACCGUGAGGGCAUUCCGGUGUAUUGCAAUGUCCUAAAAUUCCAUGACGUUAUAUUCGUUUUGGGUUUUUAACCGAUCUAUAAACAUGAUGAAUACGUAGACAUCAUCAGAUGCAAGCUAACAUUCCUUAUCGCUUGUUAUAAAUUCAUUUCUUCAAUGAAUACUCAUCAAAAACUUUUUAAAGAAGAUAAAUUAAUAAUAUUAUUUUUUGUUUUGUUAUAUGUAUAUACAUAUAAAUAAAAAAAAAUCAUUAAUAUAUAUGCACACGCAUGCGGAAGAAUAUCUCAGGAACGUUUGCAAUCUCAAGGAACUAUAACUCUGCAUGGAUGAUAAAACAUUUUUUUGCGGCAAAAUACGAAUGCCUACUCAAAUCCAUUCUAUUAGAAAAAACGAAUAAUUACAGAGGAGUGACGUGUCCACCCUGCACUUGCACUGUACUAUUAAAAAUAUAGUAGAAUAAAUGAUAAAUAAAUGCAUGAAAAUUAUAUAUACUUGUAACUGUAAUAUACAAGUAUUAAUAUAUAUAACGGACAACAAACCAGAGUUUACUGAUUUGUAUCACUACAAUAUAAUAGUCAUUACGGUGAGAAUGAAUUCCCUGUCAUUAAUUUAUCAUCCAAGCACGAACUUGUUCCAGAUUUUUUUUUAUAUCCGUACAUUAACCCCACUUUCAGGUAUAGAGAUGUGAUUUUUUUCUGAGACAACUGCUUAAUGAAACCUCCACAAGAACGUGCAGUCGUCCUAUGUUCAGUACUUCAGUACUUUGAUUAAAUUAUAUAUCUUAAGUUACAGAUCUUCAAAAUAGAUUUAAUUACGAUAAUUCAAGCAGUCGCUUCAUGUCAGUGCGUACACUCUUGUAAAUAAUGCAUUGAAAGUAGAAUGAAUUUUUGUUGAAAAAACGCAAGUGAAAUUGUUUUACAAUAACAGUCAUAUUUAUGUUGCAUUUCGAUGGAUAAUGUUAAGAUCCGUGUUAGCGUUGCUUUUCAUAAAAUUUAUGGUUUCAAAACAAACAAAACCGGGUGAUAUUCAUAGACAAAACCGGGUGAUUGUGUAGUAAACAACAUUGACCAAACCGACCUCUUCCAUUUUCAUUUGACCUAUUUCUUUCCUUCCAUACACAGAAAUACAAGUAUCGAGGCGCUCAUAGUGUCUAGUUUUGCAAUCUACGUGUCAAUAUCUUUCUUUUCAUACCUUCCUUAACGUACAAUGUGAACAAUUUAACGAGAUAUUAAACAAAUUUGAGACAAGGUUCACUCAAUUUGUCAUUUUGACAUGCAUUUUUACUUAGUUCUCCGUUAAUAUUGAACUGUUGUAGAAAAUAUUACACCUCAUAAUAGAAAAUAGUUAUAUAUAAAAUUGAGAAUGGAAACGGGGAAUGUGCCAAAGAGACAACAACCCGACCAUAGAGCAGACAACAGCAGAAGGUCACCAACAGGUCUUCAAUGCAACGAAAAUUCCCGUACCCGGAGGCGUCCUUCAUCUGGCCCCUAAACAAGUAUAUACUAGUUCAGUGAUAAUGAACGCCAUACUAAACUCCAAAUUGUACACAAGAAACUCAAAGUUAAAAUAAUGUAUACAUGUUCUUCGAUAUCAUAAAAAUAGCAAAUAAAUAAACAAAAACCUACAUUUUCUAUUCUAUUAAUGUUCCGUCACCGUGCCGGAUAUUAGAUACAUUCGAGUCCAAAUAUUUUUUGUCGGUGUGGUUGAGACACAGUAUUAACACCCGAUUUUGAUCAAUUCUUUUUAUUUGACAACAAAUAUUUGACACUAUACUCUACACAAGAAUCUGUCAUUCAAAUUCAUUUUCAUUUGGAUUUCAAGAACUGUAGACUGAGAUAAAUGAUAAUUAUGCCGAUGGAUUGUUUAUUGAUAUUAAACCGCAUUUUCAGUGCUCAUUAUUAUAUUAUGAAACCUGUUUAAACUGAUGUAGAAAACCAGAGUGCCUGAGUCAAUACACUUCAACAGGAUAAAUUAAAUAAGCUACCAGGUUUUAUGUUAGGGGGUUGAUGAAGGUGCUGUUGUUUUAAACUUUUUAAUCCGCUAUUGUUAUUUGCAGUGUGUGUGAAAUGGCAGCAGCUUCUAUGAGCUGUGGUGUUUGUGAACUCCGUCACAUCACCAAACCAUCCAUAGUCUGGUGUUCAGAAUGUGACGAGGGACUAUGUGCAGAAUGCCAGGAGCAUCACAGUUUGUCAAAAGGAACCAGAAACCAUAAAGUGAUUACAAUUACUGAAUACACGAAAUUACCAGCUGAUGUACUAAUGAUUAGUCAAAACUGUAGUAAACACGUUAAAAAGUAUCAAUUUUAUUGCCAGAAGCAUGAAUGCCCCUGCUGCAGCAAAUGUAUCGUGGAAAUCCAUAAAGAAUGCCAAGAUUUCGUCGAAUUAGAUGACGUCAUUCACAAUGUCAAAACCUCCAAUGACGUUUGCGAAAUAGAGGAAACAUUAUUUGAAGUUGCAGAAAAUCUACAGAAGAUUCGACAGCAUCAACAGGACAACCUGACGACAUUAGAAGAAAGUAGAAAGGAAAUAGAAAAAGAAAUAAAGAUGACCAGAAUAAAGAUCAACAACCAUCUUGACAAACUACAAGAGGAUUUAAUUAAACAACUGUAUGCAGUAGAAGAAAAAGAAAAGUCGAAAAUUGGUCAGUUAUUGUCAUCAUUAGAAAAUAAUGAAAAGGAAAUAGCAGAAUGCAAGAGAAAUAUUAUGAAUAUUAAACAACAUGCAACAGACCUUCAAGUCUUUCUUUCAAUAAAGCAAAUAGAAGGGUACGUCUAUAGCAAAAAUAAAUUCUCUCAGUCGCUUGAAGAAGACAAGAUUUUCACCAAAACUUCUCUUUCAUAUAAGAUCAACACCUCUAUCCAAAAUAUCAUGUCCGAUAUCAUAAGUUUUGGAGAUGUGCGUAUUGAAGCUAAAUCUUGCGAUAUAGUUAUUACUAGGAAAAAGGAUAAACAAGCUCAAAGGAUGGUACCGACCGUUCAAUCAAGAGCCAUUGAAAAUAUAAAGUUUACGAAACAAAAGACCAUCAACACUCAAGGAGAAUUAAUUUACGGAUGUUGCAUGUUGCCGGAUGGUAGAAUAGCAUUUACUUACAACUCGGAUUGUAAGGUAAUUGUGUUUAACAUGAAAGGAUUGAAAGACUUUGAGGUGAAGAUGCCGGUUUACCCGUUUGAUUUAGUGUUUAUCAGUGAGGACAAUACAUUGGCUGUCACAUCUGGUUAUUCACAGAUAGAAGUGUAUUACUAUUAUCGACUUGGAGAAGAAACAAAUCAAGAAAAUAAUUUCACUGGAUUCGGAAUAGUUUUGGCAUUGCAUUGAAAGAUAACCGAUUGAUUUAUUCCGGUUACGACAAAGGUAUACGAAUGAUCAAUCUAGACGACGAGUCUAUACGUGACAUAGUCCGAGACAUAAUGCCAACACAAUGUUGCAUUGCAACAUUUAAGAACAGUAUAUAUCAUACAAACAAUGAAACACACACUGUAACAUGUUAUAAUCGACAAGGAGAAAUACAAUGGAAUUUCCGUAACGUAACCGUUCUUAAAUCUCCUCGAGGUAUUGAUGUAGAUAAUGAUGGUAAUGUGUUUGUGACAGGGAGCACUUCAAACAACGUUGUUGUUAUCUCUCCUGAUGGACAACGACAUAGAGAAGUAUUGACAGCAAGUUAUGGCCUUGAAGAUCCUGCCUCGCUUCAUUAUAGUGGAUCAAAGAACCAGCUGCUUAUCGCGAACUUCAAUUACAAUGCUCAUUUGUUUGAUGUUAUUUAAACAAAUUCAAAGUUAAAACUUCUUAAACUUUAGGUCAUUCUGAGCAGUGAUUAAAAUAUCUAGAAUUUUGAAACCUAUUUAGUUACUUUCUGACAGAAAUAUAAUAUGUAGUGUGUGUUUUAAACGUAUUCAUUUACAAAUUAUGUAUAGUUAUUGCUGUUAUUUCAUUAAACAUGUGUAUUCUAAUACAUUUAAUGGAAUGAGAACACUAGUAUCAUCACGAACCAGAAACGAUGUUGCCGGUAAACAUGGUAAAUACAUUUUAUCAUGUUUAUAGAAAUAAAACAACGAUAUGUGGUGUGUUUGCAAAUGAGGGAACUACCUACCACCGACCAAAUGACGUGGGUCACUGAUAUUAUUGCUACUAUUUAUAAACUACCAUCCAGCACAAAAUUUUCCAGAUACAAAUAUUUUUUCAUGACAAAAUAUAAAUAUUGACAAAUUAUCUUUAUUGGGACAUCACGUGCACAUAUGGCGAGAUACGACUUAUAAAGAUCGCCAAUAGAAUAACAAAAGGUAUAUAAAUCUAAAAAAUCAUAAUAAAUGAAUAUAUAAUUAUGUAGUUACAAAACUAAUGAUAAUGAUCAUAUAAUACAACAUUUUCGUUCAAACGCAUAUGCUUGAGCUGACAGGUCUCAUUAUAAGUUGAAGUCUAUGCCUAUAAAAGUAUGAAUGAUUGUCUUUAUCACCUUGUUUGGUGAUAAUUUGAGAGAAUAAACUGUCAUGAUUCAGCGAUUAGCUAAACGUUUGUAGUAUGUGCAUUUUGUAUUUUUCAUGAUAAAUCAACAUCAAUGGGUUCCUUGAUUGGUUUGGAAGAAGACAUAAGUCAUACUUCAGUGGUAAAUUUUAAGCUUGCGAGGUGUAGACUAUUCCUUUAUAAGUUUACAGGAUAGGUCAACAUUAUUUUGGUUUGUAGUUUUCAUGUGAUAUAUAAGGAAACAUGUGUUCAUCUGAGAUCAUCUGAGAUAUGUCAUAUAACCUUGACCUGAAUAUUAUUUGUAACCAUGGUGUCAUAAUGAAGCCUCCUCCUUUCUGACUAUAAUUGAGCGACUUACAAUAUGUAUGAGGAUUGUUUGCAAAUAAACUCAUCAUAGAUACCAGGACUAAAUUUUGUAUAUACGCCAGACGCGCGUUUCGUCUACAAAAGACUCAUCAGUGACGGUUGAAUCCAAAAAAGUUAAAAAGGCAAAAUAAAGUACGAAGUUGAAGAGCAUUAAGGACAAAAAUUCCUAAAAGUUAUGCCAAAUACAGCUAAGUAAUCUAUUCCUGAGGUAGAAAAGCCUUAUUUUUUUUCUUCAAAAAUUCAAUUAUGUAAUGUCAGUUUAACAUUAGUUAUGACCAUGACCUAAAAUUCAUGCUUCAUCUUUCACAAGAUGUUUUAAUUGUAUAAGGAUCAAGUCUGUUUUUUAGUUACUAAUAUUGAUAGGUUUUGAUUUUAAUGUUCCUGAACAAGUUUUAUCCAUAAAAGGUUUUUAGAAGCACCACAUGUAUAUAAUGUUAUUUUCGUAUGUAUUAUCAAUAUUAAUAUCAGGAAAAAAUUCAAAUAUCUUAAUAGGAGAGAAAUUUAAGUAUCUCCAAUAAUUUUAAAGGAACUCGCAUAUAUUUCAAUAUAAGAAUUACAAAUAUAUCUUUAUUUAGGUAUCAGUUCUCCAAAACAAUUUAUACAUGUUAUAUAUAAAACUAUAAAUAGUAGUAUUAAUCAUGACACAGUCUCAAUUAAAAACAAAAACUGUUUUUUCCACAAAAAAAGAAAAUGACGAAAAAUGUAUUCACCAAAUACUGAAAAAAAAUGCAAGCAUGAGAUCUUUACAACAGAGAAAAAUCAAACCUGAAAUAUAUUUCUAACUGCAGUGGCGGAUUCAAGGAGUGUAAACGUAGUGCAUAUCCUUGAAAUCAGACGUUAUAUCGUGUUUCCCAUGAAAUCGUUAAAAUAAUCAUCUUGCUACUAUUAAGUUGUUUUAAUCAUUUUGUCCAUGCGUAGAUCUGAAAUUUUUUCUUUCUUUGUCCUUUUUUUUUGCCAAAAUGUGAUUGAUAUCGACAUUGAAGGACAAACACUCAAAUAGCAAGUGGUCAACUGAUGAUUUCAAUCAUGUUGACUUUUUCUUGAUUUGUAACCAUUUGUUAUAGAUGUUUAGGAUAAAAUUUUAAGUUUGAUAUACCAACAAAAAAAAACGACAAUAUUGGUAAACAUUGUAAUUUAAGGUCAUUACCUUUUAUUCUUAACUGACGAUUUGAUUAUUUGCUUUAAACUUUUCAAAAGAUAAAUAAUCAACUGUAAUUUAUUGACUUUUUUAUUUUAUUUUUUUGUUUGUUUUUGUUUAUAUAGUAUAUAAACUUUCUUCACGCUUCUUCUUAUCCUGAAUAUGUUCUUCUUCAAGUUCUUGUCGCUAAUAAGUGUGAUCGGACUGGUUUGUAUAGGCUGUCUCCUGAUAAUGUGUGCUGCUUUAUUUUUUUCCGUCUACUAGUCCUUAAGCUAAAGCACAACUAGCUGGGAUUAUUCAACGAAUGAAAAAUUCCGAGGCUAUAACAGUUAAAUGGGGCUGUUCACAAUUUAUCUGAAUAUAUCAACAUGGAUGGUCUUGACCUGAUGAUCAUUUUAUCAUGUCCGUUUAACUUUUUUUAGUUUAAAAGAUAUCAAAGAUAAUCCGUACGGUUUCAAUGGCAAAAUGUCCGUUUUAGCUUAUUCUGAAAUGCUGAAAUAAGUUUUAAAAAAAUGAAAUUAAAACGAACAUAGAACAUGUCCAAAAUGAUUACGUUUAUUUCCAAUACAACCCAACUUGUUAAUGUGUAUUUUAAAAUUCAAAAUUUGUGGCUUUUUUCACUUUCUGAAACAAUCAAUAAUUAAUGACCUUCCUGAUAAACUCGAGCUGGUAAACCAUACGAGGAAUGCAUAUUUUAAAGUAAAAAGGUAAUUUUUAUGAUUUAUUUGUUAAGUCCACGAUAAAUUCUUUCUUUUGUUAUGUUUUGAAUUCUUUCUAAUAAACUAAUAAACUAAUGACCUAAACACGUUAAAUUUGUAGAAUGAUUUAUUUUACUUUCGUUUUGGGCUUGGACAUAAUCCAUAAUUAUCUUCAUUUAUAUAUGUUAUGUCCCAAUUCUAGAGCAAGUUAUUUUUUUCGUUCAUAAUAUCUUCAUUUGUACACGAAAUUCGAUCUGUAUAAUACCAUCAAUCAUUGGAACUACAUAUAUACACGUUUACGGAAUCAUUCAUUUAGCAGGUUUAGGAAAUGGAACUUUAUCUGAUGUAUUAUAUAUAUCAUCGAUUAAUAUUAGAUCAGAAAAGUUUCCAGUAUAUUUACACCAAAUGUGAAUCCACAAAAAAAAGCCAAAAUACGUAAAUAUGAUCAUUUAACACAUUCUUCUGUAGGAAUUUUUUUAAUUGUUUUAACAUAUUAUAGCUUUAUAAUUGAUUAACAAUUCAUAUAUCAAUAUUAUCAAACUUACACUUUCAAUCAAAUGAUCGAUUAAAAUAGCUGACUUGUAUUAAGCUGAAAUCAAGAUUAAUUAUAUCUAGUUGCCAAUCCAAUACGCAAAAUAACUAUUUGAGACCCUAAACUACAAAAUAACUAAACUUUAGACUUAAAGCAAAUCUGAACAGAUUUUUAUAUAUAUUUCCAUAAUCUUUUAUAAAAGUUUAAGGCCCGGUUUAAUUCAUUCUAAAUGUUUGACCCUGUACUAUUCACAAGCUCCAAUUAUUCAAAUUCAUUUUCAUUUUGAAUAAAAAAAACUGUCAAAUGAGAUAAAUGAGAAUUAUUUCAGAGAUUGAGUAUUGAUAUUAAACUCAAUUUUCAGUACUCAUGGAUAUAUUAGGAAACCUGUUUAAAUUGAUGUAGAAAACCUGAAAGCCUGAGUCAACUCUCUUCGACAGGAAAAUAAAUUAAGUUACCAUGUUUGAUGUCGGAUUAAUUGAGGUGGUGUUGUUUUAAAUCAGCUAUAAUUAUUGUUAUUUGCAGUGUGUGUUAAAUGGCAACAGCUUCUAAAACCUGUGGUGUUUGUGAACUUUGUCACAUUACGAAACCAUCAAUAGUCUGGUGUACAGAAUGUGAUGAGGGACUACGUAUUGAAUGCCAGGAGCAUCAUAAUUUGUCAAAAGGAACCAGAAACCAUCAAGUCAUACCAAUUACUGAAUACACUAAAUUACCAGCUGCUGUACUAAUGAUCAGUCAAAACUGUAAUAAACAUGAUAAAAAGUAUCAAUUCUAUUGCCAGAAGCAGAAUUUCCCUGCUGCAGCAAAUGUAUCAUAGAAAGCCAUAAAGAAUGCCAAGUUUUCGUCGAAUUAGAUGACGUCAUUCACAAUGUCACAACUUCCAAUGCCCUGUGCGACCUAGAGGAAACAUUAGUUGAAGUAGCUCAUCUUUCUUUAAAUUUUGUAAAUGAGGUACCAAAAGAAAGAAGAAGGAUUAAUCUUUCAAAUUGUGAUAAUUUCAUUAUGACAUAAUUAUUACAUCAUUAAUUGUUAUGUAAUUAGUUGCCAUAUUGUGAUGUCUAUACUUGAAUGAAUUUAGCUUCUUUGUUAUUCAUAGCAUCCACAAAUAUUUUAUAGAUUCUUGCACUACACAGUUUGACCUCCAAAACUGUGUCUCAGAUUUUUCUUAUUGUAUUUCAUUCUCUCAUAAAUCUUCAAUGAAGUUUGCAACAUCAAUUCAUUAGAGACCAUUAAAUUCAAUUGGGUAUAAAAUUUGUUCUAUUGAUGUUUUUGGAAAUCUGAGACACAGUUUUGGAGGUCAAGCUGUGUUGUACAAGAAUAUAUAAAAUAUUUUGGGAUGCUAUAAAGAACAAAGAAGCUAAAUUGAUUCAAGUGUGGACAUCACAAUAUAGCAACUAAUUACACAAUAAUUAAUUAUAUAAUAAUUAUGUCAUAAUGAAAUGAUCACAAUUUGAAAGAUUAAUCUUUCUUCUUUCUUUUGGUACCUCAUUAAUAAAAUAUAAAGAAGGAUGAAAUGAAUUACAUCAGUUUAAAGUUGUCUGAUUGGGAGCGACAAAAUCUUUGUAUUGUGCUACCUUAAUGAAACAACUAUAUGCGAUAGAAGAAAAGGAAAACUCGAAAGUAAGUCAAUUAUUCUCAUCAUUAGAAAAGAAAGAAAAUGAAAUAGCAGAAUGCCAGAAAAAUAUUAUCAACAUCAAGCAACAUGCAACGGAUCGUCAAGUGUUUCUUUCCAUGAAGCGAACAGAAGAGGACGUCUAUAGCAAACAUAAAUUCCUUCAGUCGCUUAAAGAAGGCGGGAAUUUAAACAAACAUUUGUUUCAUAAAGAUCAACACCGCUAAUGAGAAUAUCAUGUCCGAUAUCAGAAGUUUUGGAGAAGUUCGUAUUGAAGCUAAAUCUUACAAUAUUGUUCUGAUUAAGAAAAAGGCAAAACAAGCCCAAAUGAUGGUAUAAACCGUUCAAUCAAGAUCUAUUGAACAUAUAAACCUUACGCUACAAAAGACCUUCGACAAUCAAGGAUUCCAAAUUUUUGGAUGUUGCAUAUUACCGAAUGGUAGAGUGGCAUUUACCUACUACUUGGAGAGUAAGGUAAAUAUAUUCAACGUGAAAGGAUUAAAAGAUUUUAAAGUGAAGUUGCCGUCUGACGCGUUCGAUAUAGUGUACAACAGUGAUGAUAAUGUAUUGGCUAUCAUACCUGGUGGUUCAGAGAAGAAGUGUAUCACCAUUAUAGACCUGGAAAAGAAACAAAUGAAGAAAGCAAUUUCUCUGGAUUCUUAUAGUUAUGGCAUAGCACUGAAAGAUAAUCG